rnacentral:rRNA from 1 species
GCUUACGGCCAUACCACGUUGAAUACACCAGUUCUCGUCCGAUCACUGAAGUUAAGCAACGUCGGGCUCGGUUAGUACUUGGAUGGGUGACCGCCUGGGAAUACCGAGUGUCGUAAGCU